AUGUUACGCCGGUAUGAGCGGGUUACUUUGAUGAAGUAAAAAAUGGGGAUUUCCUCUAACAUCUC
rnacentral:tRNA from 1 species